GUCGAGAAUAAUUCACAAUGGACGAAAGUCUGAUGGUGCAACGCCGCGUGGAGGAUGAAGGUCUUCGGAUUGUAAACUCCUGUCAUCGGGGAGUAAGACCUGGCGGUAAAUAGCCGACAGGGUUGAUAGUACCCGAAGAGGAAGGGACGGCUAACUUCGUGCCAGCAGCCGCGGUAAUACGAAGGUCCCAAGCGUUGUUCGGAAUCACUGGGCGUAAAGGGAGCGUAGGCGGCGUGGUAAGUCAGAUGUGAAAUCCCGGGGCUCAACCCCGGAACUGCAUCCGAUACUGCCAUGCCUGAGGGUUGGAGAGGUAGCUGGAAUUCUCGGUGUAGCAGUGAAAUGCGUGGAUAGCGAGAGGAACACUCGUGGCGAAGGCGAGCUACUGGACAACAUCUGACGCUGAGGCUCGAAGGCCAGGGGAGCAAAUGGGAUUAGAAACCCUGGUAGUCC
rnacentral:rRNA from 1 species